AAGGAUACAUUUGAAAACAAAAUGUCAGUUUUAUACUGCAGUACAGGCUUAAGCUUGUUCUGCCUCUCACUUAAGCAUGUGAGACACUAUUAUGCACAUUGUGAUUUAUUCAAAUUCCAGUUCCCUCUUAAGCUUUGAAGAAACAGGAAGAGUCCAGGAAAGUUCUGUGGACUUUUAGCUCUUGCACCUACAGCUGGUAGGUAUCUUAGGCAGCUUUCACCCGAUGCUCAUGAGAUGCUGGUGUUGAAGUCCCUGGGAAGGGGUUGCUCAGUGGUCCUGGAAGAGCCUGUUAUUCCAAAGAAACAAUUCUUUGUUCUGUUACCCAUUUUGCACUUUUCCAUUUUAAAUUGGAUAUUCAGAAUCUUUUCUACCCUGAAGUCUAUAUUGACCAAUUGGUGAACUGUUAACCUGUCUUUGAAUUUCUGAAAAAUAUGAGGAAAAUGUAGUUCAGUAGGAAAGCACUUGCCCAGCACGGACAAGCUCUUGGUUCCAUCUUUAGCACCGUAAAAAUAAAAUGAAACCGGGGAUUAGAACUGUUGCUCAACAACUGAACACUUGUAUAAUGCCUUGACUCUCUAGUGAGAGUCACACACUCACACUCACACACACACACACACACACACACACACACACACAGAAAUAAUAAAAGUAUAAAAUAAACACGAAAUUCAACAGAAAUUUUCUUAAUACUUUCUUUUCUUUUUGUGGAGGACAUGUCAAGGGAAUGCUUAAGCAGGUAGAAAUGGUUGCCUUGGAAAGCCCUUACCUGCUUCUCCAUAGUUAACAGAACAGCGGAUGCCCCGUCUUUGCUGUCCUCAGGUGGGAAGAGGCGGCUUGCCCAGCACUGUGGAUUGGAAUAAACUCUGCCGGGACAGAAACCACCGAUGACCUUGGACUUCCACACCUGGAACAUCAGCUGCUUCCUUCCUUUGCAUAUUUUGUGGUUUGUCUGGAGAGUCAGGUGUCAUCAGGGCAGAGAGAAGCAGUUGGAGGACAACUCCAGUGGCUUCCUGUGACAGUGUGACAUGUGACAGUGUGACCUCCUGGACCUUCUAGAGAACUGGUGACUUUGCAGCAAGGACUCAGUUAGCUAGGCCAGAGCAGCCAUGUGGCAAAUAGGAAAUCCAUGUAGCGCGAAUAUGUUUCAUAACAGUGCUCUGGAAUUUGGAGAGAUCCAGUACUUCUUUUUUUUUUUUUUUGCAAUGGGACAUGUGAACGUGUCCUUAUUGAACUUUGUGGAAAACCAGAACUGAAACAUACUUUCCUAGUGCAAUUAAGUUUACUGAGAAACUAGUGAUGUUGAACUUGUCACCGGGAGAGAAUCUGUCAGGAACCAGCAAAAGAAUGUGACUGGUGAAUGUGGACCUUGUUUGGCCUGUGCACAGUACCACUCUUUUCAGCAUCUUCGGAGGUACCGGUGUGAGAUGGUGCUUGUAGGACCUGCCGUAGAGUGAAUACUGAGAUUCUCCACUCUGUUUGUCUCGUCUUUCACUCCUCUUGUUUUCCAUAUAUAAUAGGCCACCUCAGUGGCUCAGGACUCACUUCUAACGAGCUCCGUAUUUGCCCUCUCUGUAGCUAUCUGCCCUUUCUUCUGUUCACGUAAAGCAUCUGUAAAGAAAAGGCCCUAAGGAGCAAGGGGUACCUGUUCUCCUCAGCCUGGUGCUCCUUUCUGUCCCAGUGACGAUGCUCUGCCUUCUGGGACUCUGCACACUGGCAAUUCUGUGCUCUAGCCUAUACACAGAUGCUCCUCUCUUGUAACCAAGACCAUCCUUCUUUCCAGUCCACCUCCUUUUCAUGUGCUCCCCUUCUGCUGGUAUCCUCCCGCAAUCAUUAGCACUGGCACACCCACCCUUCCAUGGGGUUCACUUCUGCCGAUCCAUCUGGAAAACCUGGGCUGCUCUGCCUCAUCGUUUCCUCUUUCUGCUUUCUUUACAAUUCGGUGAAAUUCAGAUUAUAAAAACUGACCUUUGAUCCGAACAGUUCACAGUUUUACAUAACGGCCACCUCCACCUAGUUCCAACUCUCUUCAUCUCUCCCAGAGAAAACCCCUGCCAUCAAGCACUCGCUAGGUCCCGCUCCUUUCCUUCGGCCAUUUCCCAGCCACCAUAGAACUAAACUUUCCCAGGAGAGAAACCACCAAUGAGCUUGGACUUCCACAUCUGGAGCAUCAGCUGCUUUCUUCUUUGCAUAUCUCCUGGCUUGUCUGGAGAGUCGGGUGUCAUCAGGGCAGAAGGAAACAGCUGGCCUUGUUGCUCUGUGAAUGUACCCACUUAGGACAUUUUCUAUUACUAGGCUCACACAGUAUGGAACCUCUUGUGCCUGCCGUCUUUUGUUAGACACGACGACUUAGAUUUCACUCAAAUGCUUACGAGCACUUGAACUUCAUUCCUUCACAUAUAUCUAAACGACAAUGUCCAUCAGAUGUGAGUGCUUUGUCUGUUCAUCCAUUGAUAGGCAUGGUCUGUUCUAUCUUUGGGCUGUUGUAUCGAUGAGUCCCCGUUUGAGUUCUGUAAAAUAUCUACUCAGGGAUGAAAUUAAAUGUAAACAUUUAGCUCUCUGAGGUGCUAGAGUGCUUUCUCACAGUACCUGCUUAAUUUACAUUUUUUUUUAACCAGCAGACAUGAAAUUUACAAUCUGCUUGCUGUCCUUGACAACAGAUGUUGACCUUUUUUUUUUUUUAAAGUGUAGUCAACCAAGUAGGUAUAAAACUGUACCCCAUCAUGGUUGUAAUCCUUUCUUUCCUUUUAAAGGCAGGGUCUUUUGUACCACAUCUGACCUCAAACCCACUGUGUAGCUCAGGGAUGGCCUUGAACUUCUAAUCCUUCUGUCUUCACUUCCUGUGUGCUGGGAUUUCAGGCAUACACUGAUCUGAACAGUUUGUGCAAGGCAGGCCAGCGUCCCCACCCUGUUUUUUAAUCUUUAUUCCUACCUGCCUAGUCGUAUCCUUCAUCCUUUCACUUGUUUCUUACUAUUACUUAGACAAGUGCCCUAUUUCUACCCCUGCCUAUUUCAAGUGGUCUGUUUGCCCUUUGGUUGUUGAGUUAGGUGUAGAUGUUCUGGAUGUGACUGGAAGAGCCUUUCUUCUGUUUUGCUGGUUGCAUUUCCAUGUGUUUGAAAAUAUCAUUUUGGUGAACAAAGGUUUUUUGGGUUUUUUUGGGUUUCAUUUUUAUCAGCUAAGGUUUGUCUUUUAUUUCAUUGAUUCUUCAUUGUCAUAUUCUGGAUCUACUAAUGCCCGGUUGCCAUGUAUGAAUCUUAAGCUCAUGAAAAUUUACUGUAAGCUCCCCUCUGUUUUCUUCCAGGUAAAAUGGUCAUUUGCUGGUAGUUUGUGGUAUAUCUCGGUCAUGGAUCCGAUCUGGAUGGAAUAUGAGGCACUAGGAUCCAGCAGCAUUCACUUGCUUCGGGAUGCCAAGUCCCAGGGUCUUUGUUGAGUAACCUUCUUUGAUCUUUGUAUCACUGUCAAGGACUAACUUGGCUCAGCAGCAAUGCGUCUCUCAAUUGUGUUCUGUUGUUUCAUAUUCCUAUUCUUUUGCUGUGCCACACCAUUUUGGUUACUAUAUCUUUUUAGCAGUUUUGAAUUCUGAAAAUGUGAAUCUCCUGGUUGCAAGUUUUUAUAGUGCAGUUUUUGCUCCUUGUGCCUGUUCUUGCUUCUGUUUCUGUCAUUAUUUGUUCUUUUCUGAUUCAGCUGCAGCUGCCCCACAGUUUUCUGGUACAUGUGGGAUAUCACAAGCAUACUGCAGACUAAAAGGUUUCUCUAGAAACCUUGACAAAAUCUAUGUGAGUGUUUCUAGAGCCAAAACUAGCUCCUACCUGCUGGUUUUAAGCUGCACAUUAGAAAUCUAAGAGCCCCUGUUCUAGUGGCCUUUUGCGAAGAAGACUCCCCUUCCCUUUUGCCAUGACAACCAGAUAUUGUGACUUGUGCAUGUUCCAAAUAUAUUAGUUGUCAUCUUCACUGACAUAAAUACUAUUUGAAAACCCCUCUGUUUUGUAAAACCAAGCUGUGGUACAGGCAUUAAAUCAGGAAGAAGUUAGACUUGUGGAACACAGUGAGGAAGGAGGCUGCUGGUUUCGUUGGAAUCAAUUGCUAGCAUGAGUCACACUUGUUUCCAGAAUAUUUAACCUCUGCUUUGUUCCUUUGAGCAUUGCAGGGACUAUGUGGGAUUUUCCUUUCUGAAGAACUUGCAGCCGUGAAUUACCCAGUAACUGCUCUUUAAGCAUUUCCAGGUGCUCCUUUAAGUCCUCAUGUCAUGGAAGAUGAACAAUUGCUCCUGAUUGAUUGGAGGAAACUGCUAUAACCCCUGGACAUUAGGACAGUGCGAAUGUUUAUGCUUCUUGCUGAAAUGCAGUUAGAAGACACAUAGGGUACUGGGGAGCUGGGUUGGUUGGUGUAGUGCCUGAUGUACAACAUGAGGACCUUAGUUAGGAUCCCCACCACACGUGUAAAGCUGGGAACUGACGAUUACCCUUGCAACCUUGGGACUGGGGCUGGGGAUUGUGUAGACAAGAGAAUCCAUGGAACUUGGUGGCCAGCCAUUCAAUGUUUUUUGAAUGACCUGUCUG
rnacentral:lncRNA from 1 species